rnacentral:rRNA from 1 species
AGUGAACGCUGGCGGCGUGCUUAACACAUGCAAGUCGAACGAGAACGGAUUAUAGCUUGCUAUAAUUGUCAGCUAAGUGGCGCACGGGUGAGUAAUGUAUAGGUAAUAUGCCUCUUACUAAGGGAUAACAAUUGGAAACGAUUGCUAAUACCUUAUAUUCCUUUUUAUCAAAAGAUAAAAAGGGAAAGAUUUAUUGGUAAGAGAUUAGCCUGUAUUGUAUCAGUUAGUUGGUGGGGUAAUGGCCUACCAAGACGAUGACGCAUAACUGGUUUGAGAGGAUGAUCAGUCACACUGGAACUGAGACACGGUCCAGACUCCUACGGGAGGCAGCAGUGGGGAAUAUUGCACAAUGGACGAAAGUCUGAUGCAGCAACGCCGCGUGGAGGAUGACACAUUUCGGUGCGUAAACUCCUUUUAUAUAAGAAGAUAAUGACGGUAUUAUAUGAAUAAGCACCGGCUAACUCCGUG